AAACUAGAGAAACCCUAGAGCUAAGGAAGGCAGAAAGGGUUGGCUUCUUUAGGAACUUCCACCGUCAACUUCUCUCGAAGCAAGAAGAAAGCAACACAUAGGAAGAGAAAGAUCAAUUUCCUGCACUUGAGAAAUCAUAUUUGAACUCAUAUUUUGCAUCAAACUCAUAAGUAUUUCUUCCAUCAUAGCCUUGAUCUUAGUAACCCCAUGACCUAAAUAAGAACUAGUAGCCUUCGGAGUAGUGGCGCAUAGUAAAACUUAUGGCAUCUCACUCUCUUAUAUUCUUAAGGGUUGACUGACAGUUGAUCGCCAUGAAGACUCCAGAGAUAACAUGCACAAAUUUUCACUACACCCUCCAAACAUAGAGAACUAACACAGAGUUUCUCAACCUAGAGGACUAAAACUUGGAUUGAUAAGAACAAAGCAAGUUUAAAAAAACCAUCCCUAAGAAAUUUCAGACAUGCAUCCAAAAAAUAACAUAGCAAAA
rnacentral:misc_RNA from 1 species